CACACAUUAGAUACCCCUGUAGUCCAGGGUGUAAACGCUGCAGACUUGGUGUUGGGAACCCUUCGGGGGUGCUCAGUGCCGGAGAGAAGUUGUUAAGUCUGCUACUUGGGGAGUACGUCCGCAAGGAUGAAACUUAAAGGAAUUGGCGGGGGAGCACCGCAACGGGAGGAGCGUGCGGUUUAAUUGGAUUCAACGCCGAAAAACUCACCAGCAGCGACUGUUACAUGAAAGUCAGGUUGAUGACCUUACUAGAUUUUUCAG
rnacentral:rRNA from 1 species